GGAGUUAGCCGGUGCUUCUUCUGUGAGUGAUGUCCUUCCUGCCGGCUAUUAACCCGCAGGCCUUCUUCCUCACUGAAAGUGCUUUACAACCCGAAGGCCUUCUUCACACACGCGGCAUGGCUGGAUCAGGGUUGCCCCCAUUGUCCAAUAUUCCCCACUGCUGCCUCCCGUAGGAGUCUGGGCCGUGUCUCAGUCCCAGUGUGGCUGAUCAUCCUCUCAGACCAGCUACGGAUCGUCGCCUUGGUGAGCCGUUACCUCACCAACCAGCUAAUCCGACAUAGGCUCAUCCGAUAGCGCGAGGCCCGAAGGUCCCCCGCUUUCCCCCGUAGGGCGUAUGCGGUAUUAGCCUGGGUUUCCCCAGGUUAUCCCCCACUACCGGGCAGAUUCCUAUGCAUUACUCACCCGUCCGCCGCUCGCCACCAGGGAGCAAGCUCCCCGUGCUGCCGCUCGACUUGCAUGUGUAGCUCGCGCCAGCGUCAUCUGAGCAGAGUACUACUACUCGUACGUACGUAGACGGCGGUCGGUCGGACGGACGGCG
rnacentral:rRNA from 1 species